GUUUGAUCCUGGCUCAGGAUGAACGCUGGCGGCGUGCUUAACACAUGCAAGUCGAACGAUUAAAGCCCGCUUCGGUGGGUGUAUAGAGUGGCGAACGGGUGAGUAACACGUGGGCAACCUGCCCCUCACUUCGGGAUAACUCAGGGAAACCUGAGCUAAUACCGAAUACUCCGGGAUGGUCGCAUGGCCGACCCGGGAAAGUUCCGGCGGUGAGGGAUGGGCCCGCGGCCCAUUAGCUUGUUGGUGAGGUAACGGCUCACCAAGGCGACGAUGGGUAGCCGAGCUGAGAGGCUGAUCGGCCACACUGGGACUGAGACACGGCCCAGACUCCUACGGGAGGCAGCAGUGGGGAAUCUUGCGCAAUGGGCGAAAGCCUGACGCAGCAACGCCGCGUGCGGGAUGAAGGCCUUCGGGUUGUAAACCGCUUUCAGCAGGGACGAAUCUGACUGUACCUGCAGAAGAAGCCCCGGCUAACUACGUGCCAGCAGCCGCGGUAAUACGUAGGGGGCAAGCGUUAUCCGGAUUCAUUGGGCGUAAAGAGCGCGUAGGCGGCUUGCUAAGCGAGAUGUGAAAACCGGGGGCUCAACCCGCGGCCUGCAUCUCGAACUGGCAGGCUUGAGUCUGGUAGAGGAAAGUGGAAUUCCCAGUGUAGCGGUGAAAUGCGCAGAUAUUGGGAGGAACACCAGUGGCGAAGGCGGCUUUCUGGGCCACGACUGACGCUGAGGCGCGAAAGCUAGGGGAGCGAACAGGAUUAGAUACCCUGGUAGUCCUAGCCGUAAACGAUGGGCACUAGGUGUGGGGGGUUAUCAACUCCCUCCGUGCCGCAGCUAACGCAUUAAGUGCCCCGCCUGGGGAGUACGGCCGCAAGGCUAAAACUCAAAGGAAUUGACG
rnacentral:rRNA from 1 species